rnacentral:rRNA from 1 species
UGCAGUCGAGCGAUGAAAUCCCUUCGGGGAUGGAUUAGCGGCGGACGGGUGAGUAACACGUGGGCAACCUGCCUCAAAGUGGGGGAUAGCCUUCCGAAAGGGAGAUUAAUACCGCAUAACAUUAGUUUUUCACAUGAAUUACUAAUUAAAGGAGUAAUCCGCUUUGAGAUGGGCCCGCGGCGCAUUAGCUAGUUGGUGAGGUAACGGCUCACCAAGGCCACGAUGCGUAGCCGACCUGAGAGGGUGAUCGGCCACAUUGGAACUGAGACACGGUCCAGACUCCUACGGGAGGCAGCAGUGGGGAAUAUUGCACAAUGGGCGAAAGCCUGAUGCAGCAACGCCGCGUGAGUGAUGAAGGCCUUCGGGUUGUAAAGCUCUGUCUUUGGGGACGAUAAUGACGGUACCCAAGGAGGAAGCCACGGCUAACUACGUGCCAGCAGCCGCGGUAAUACGUAGGUGGCGAGCGUUGUCCGGAUUUACUGGGCGUAAAGGAUGCGUAGGCGGAUGUUUAAGUCAGAUGUGAAAAUCCCGAGCUUAACUUGGGAACUGCAUUUGAAACUGGAUAUCUAGAGUGCGGG